rnacentral:rRNA from 1 species
GCCCAAGAGAUCGGGAUAACACCUGGAAACAGAUGCUAAUACCGGAUAACAACAGAUGAUGCCUAUCAACUGUUUAAAAGAUGGUUCUGCUAUCACUCUUGGAUGGACCUGCGGUGCAUUAGCUAGUUGGUAGGGUAACGGCCUACCAAGGCGAUGAUGCAUAGCCGAGUUGAGAGACUGAUCGGCCACAUUGGGACUGAGACACGGCCCAAACUCCUACGGGAGGCAGCAGU